rnacentral:rRNA from 1 species
CUGCGGAAGGAUCAUUACUGAGUUAGGGUCUCAUCUCGAGCCCGAACCUCCAACCCUUUGUAUAAAACACUUUGUUGCUUUGGCAGGCCCGUCUGAAAAUCCUUUAACCGGGAUCGACGACCGCCGGGGGCGUUUAGUCACCUCUGGCCAGUGCUUGCCGAUAGCCUAUUCAAAAUUCUUUAUUAAAUCAUGUCUGAAAAAUUAUAACUAAAUAUAAUUAAAACUUUUAACAACGGAUCUCUUGGUUCUGGCAUCGAUGAAGAACGCAGCGAAAUGCGAUAAGUAAUGUGAAUUGCAGAAUUCAGUGAAUCAUCGAAUCUUUGAACGCACAUUGCGCCCUUUGGUAUUCCGAAGGGCAUGCCUGUUCGAGCGUCAUUAUCAACCCUCAAGCUCGGCUUGUUAUUGGGCUCUUAUCGUUACAGAUAGGCCCGAAAGAUAAUGGCGGCGUCAUAAAUGACCCCAGAUGCAGCGAGCUUAUAGCAUACAUCGAAAGGUUUUUAUGGCCCGGCCUUAACGAGAAGCAAUUCUCAAUUUAUUUAAAGGUGA